AACGAACGCUAGCGGCGUGCCUAACACAUGCAAGUCGCACGAGAAAUCCCGGGCAACUGGGAGAGUAAAGUGGCGCACGGGUGAGUAGCGCGUGGGUAAUCUACCCUGAAGUUGGGAAUAACACCUCGAAAGGGGUGCUAAUACCGAAUGAUAUCCCCGGGAUUUCGGUCUUGGGGAUCAAAGAUGGCUGAGGCUUGCAAGCUAUUGCUUUAGGAUGAGCCCGCGUACCAUUAGCUAGUUGGUGGGGUAACGGCCCACCAAGGCCAUGAUGGUUAGCUGGUCUGAGAGGAUGGCCAGCCACACUGGAACUGAGAUACGGUCCAGACUCCUACGGGUGGCAG
rnacentral:rRNA from 1 species